rnacentral:rRNA from 1 species
GGGCUGAAAUGCCCUCCUGAAGGAGGAUUUAGCAGUAAGCAGGAAAUAGAGCGUCCCGCUGAAAUUGGCCCUGAAGCGCGCACACACCGCCCGUCACUCUCCCCAAAGCCCCCAUUCAAUAAUUAAAACCUAAUAAUCAAACAAGGGGAGGCAAGUCGUAACAUGGUAAGUGUACCGGAAGGUGCACUUGGAGUAAU